GUACAGCGAUGUAGGAUCCAAUUUCUGCCAGACAUAAAAUGUGGCCAUUCAGCCCCCUUCAAACUGCCUGUGUGAAGAGAAUGGAAACAGCUCUGGAAAGCUCCCACCUCUCCCUAUAAACUGAACAAUUUCUGAGCAAACCUGUGAAAUUUUUUGUUUUCUUUUGACAAAGAAAAGUCAGUGUUGUUCUUGGAGCUGUCUCACAUAUUUUGACAUGGAGCUGCAGUAGACUUUUAUCUUUAAAAUUUCAUUUUCAAUUGAAAAUCCCUGCAGUUUGAGAGGAAGUUGGAAGUUUCUGCUUAUAUUUUUGAAGAAACAAGUAAUGAUUUUCUCGCUGGAUGCAAGCAAAGAUGAACGUAACCUUUCGAUUCACACUGCAGUUAGAGAAAGCCAUUCCAGAUUUCCCUCCAGCAUUCUGCCAUAUCUGAGAUGUGUGCAUCGGCUUUAUGAAGGAAGCUGGAGGCAGUUCUCAUUAGUCUCACUGACAUCUUUUAUCACUUAUCAGAGGAACAAGCAAACGGAGAGCAAUUCCUUUGAUCAUGGCAAAAGUAGAAAGAGUAUUAAAAACCCUAUGAAGAUUCACUAAGUAGAAAGUGGAAAAGACAGUCUGUGGCAUGUUUCAAAGAAGUAACAUGAUUUAAAGUUGCCAGAUUUGCUUGUAUAUAUUAAAGAAUUGUUAAUGAUGCUACAUUUUACAUGCAUCCCAGGGUGGGUUUUUUUGUUGUUGUUGUUUUUGUUUGAAGAAGAGGCGAAGGAGUUCUGAAGUAGAAUGGAUGGAUUAGAGCAAUUGGAAAAUAUCUCUAAAGGGUGAACUGUGUCAGAAAGGAAUCCAGAGAUUCAAUGAAAAUUGUUGAAAAUAAAAAUAAGGUUGUACGGUGCCA
rnacentral:lncRNA from 1 species